rnacentral:lncRNA from 1 species
CUCGAUACCAGUAUUUUAUCCAAGCAGUCAUUCUUACUCCAAAUUUUUCUUUAGAAUCUUGUAAAAUUUUGUGGUAUGCUAAGAACAAGUAGCGACAAAUGUGUGGGAUAUAAAGCACGCCUUUCUGGUCCUUCUUGCUGAGACUUUCAGUGGUUGGAAUAACCUCAUUAUAAAAUCGACCUGUGAUAGGAAGACCGCCGAUUUCGUGAAGAUCCCAAAGGAAAAUUAGACAUUUCCCCUUGCGAUGUAUGAAGAGUAUUUAUCGCAAAAGGCACGGAUGACUAGAGCGUGUCGAUCAUAGCUAAAUAAUGAGGCAAACACUGCAUUAUACAGACCGGCGCUCUUAAGAACCUGAGUAUUUCUACUUAGCACAUCUUCAAGCCAUUCCCAGUAAUACUUGGUAAAUGUAGAUUCAUCGGCCGUCGGGAGAACAGAACUCCAAUUCACUGCUCCAUUAUGGAUUCGGUCACUAAGAAGUUCGAAUACCCUUAAUAAAUCGGUCUCUGCAUGAUGCGAGGACUUUAAUUGUAAAAUAGUAGAGCGAAGGUCCCUACUCGUAGACUUGGAUUUUUUUUAAGCUGCUCAGUUGACAAAACACCUCUUGAGACCAAGAUGGGAUAUGGAGAGAAUUGUCCGCCUUGAAUACCUCCGAAGCUAGGAGAGGUGCAGCUACAAGAAAUGUGGUACCUUCGUCCCGGUUAUCACUUUCAUCCUCAAGAAUAGUGAUGGUGCCUUUCUUGAAACAUUUGAAGAAUGCCAUCUUUAUAAGGUGAACGACAUGAAACAAUAGUCAGUAUCAAGCUAAUGACUUCAUACUUGGAGAAUGGGAAAGAAACUAGAACAACUAAGGGGAAGCGCUUACUUGUACAAGCUUGGAGAUCCGGAUAAAGAUGGAAUGCCAUAAGAAGCAAUCUUCACUCGUCCUCCACUACGUAAAGCCUAAGCGCUUAAGCAGGUUAUCACCUAGUCAGAGCGAUGGAUCAAACCCAAGCGGUAUAGGACGUCUACGUUCUUCACUCAUCUUCGCUUACGUAAAGCCUAAGCACUUGAGCGAUUAUCACCAAGCCGAAGAGAUGGAUCAAACCCAAGCGGUAUAGGACGUCCACGUUCUUCACUCGUCUUCAUGUACAUAAAACCUAAGCGCUUAAGCGGGUUAUCACCAAGUCGGAGAGAUGGAUCAAACCCAAGCGGUAUAGGACAUCUACGUAAAGCCUAAGUGCUUGAGCGGUUAUCACCAAGUCGGGGAGAUGGAUCAAACCCAAGCGGUAUAAGACAUCUACGUUCUUCGCUCACGUACGUAAAGCCUAAGUGCUUGAGCAGUUAUCACCAAGUCGGAGAGAUGGAUCAAACCCAAGCGGUAUAAGAUGUCUACGUUCUUCGCUCACCUUCCCCACAUAAAGCCUAAGCGAUGAAUCAAACCCAAGCGGUAUAGGACAUUUACGUUCUUCGCUUUUCUCAAAGUACCUAUUUAAAUUUUUUUAUUAAAAAAAACAAAAAAC